rnacentral:rRNA from 1 species
CGCUGAACUUAAGCAUAUCACUAAGCGGAGGAAAAGAAACUAACCAGGAUUCCCUUAGUAACGGCGAGUGAACAGGGAUUAGCCCAGCACCGAAGCCU